ensembl:lncRNA
CAGGACUUGGGGGUCUGUGACCAGAGCCAGUGCGGUAAUUUAGGUUUUCUCUGGACCGUGGUCUGGGCUGAAGGCGGGAGAGGGAGCAAAUGUCAGGUAGGUUAGCUCUUGCUGACUGACCCUGCCUGUCUCUGUCUUGUCUGACCACUUGGAAUGGCUGUGCAGAGUUCUAUGUGACCUCAGACGGUGUGAUCCUGACACGGGAACCAGAUGAAUGCAGGCCAUUCCACUCCUCUGCAUUAAAAAAAAGAUUCCAAAGAUGCAGUGUUGCAGAUCUUCUCCUGGACAGAGUUCUAGAGGUUGGGGCUUCCACACUGAAGGCUCUGUCCCCAAAACUCUG